GAGGAGCCUCCAUAUUGCUUUCCACAAUGGUGGAACUAAAGCUUUUUUUGUUUUUAAUUUAAAAAAUCUUUGGGAAUAAAGUUGCCUUGGUGAUUCUGAUGUGCAACCAGGGCUGGGAACCACUGUGUUAGAAGCUUAGCUGUUAAAGGUUAUUAGAAGAGAGAAGCAAGAUAUCUGACAUGGUAGCCUGGAGGGGAAGCCCCAGGGAUGCCAUCCUAGUUGACCUGUCUACACAGAAGAAACAAAGACCUACAGUGGGCAGCCCUCUGGGUGCACACCAUCUACUUCAGUAGUAUUUAGUAGAACAGAAAUAAACAUGAAAAGGCCUUUCUCUUCUCCAUUAAGUCUGUUAGUUCAGGAUUGGAAAUCUUAGCUGUCCCACCAAUAGGUGUUAGAGUUACUUGUGCUGCCAAAGGGUCGAGCUUCUUCUACGUUCCUGAGAAUGAACACAAACUGUCAAUGGGAUUUGAGGGUACUAAAUCCUAAUCUAAUUCUCUAAAUUUCUUUCUUCCAGAGAGUAUUCUAGAUAUAAAUGAAAAUCUGUGAUUUUUUCUUUUAAUUCUUCCAUUUUUACAUUGUCCUGGGUAAGUAGAAAUAAAGCCAGCUGUAUUAGUCCCAUCUCUCUUCAAAAGCAUUUAUUAGUCAGGUGACAGCCUCCUGUAUUCCCCCUCUUAAGAGGGGAAUGAGUGUCUUUCUGGCUCUGGCUGGCAGGGUGAGGGGUCUAGGCCCCAUUCUCCUUUGCUAGUGGCUUCUUCUUGCCUCCCUCCAUUUCUGAGAUCAUCUUUCCUCCACCAGCAUCCGCUGCCCUCCGCCCAAUGCCGUGCGUCCAGAGGACACUUUUUCACAAAGAGCUUGGACGGAGCUGCCCAUGGGACUCCUGGUCCAACGCAGUUAUUUGAGGGAUACCCUAGGGACCUGGGGAAGAGAAGAGCCCUCUGUGGCUAAGGAGACCCUGGGGUCACUGAGAAGCCAGUUCAUCACCAUCAUCAGUCUCAUUAUCAUUAUUAUUGUCCUUGCUUUCUUCCUGCCACUAGUGGCAAGUGGGCAUGGGUCUGUCAUCUGGCCUGCAACAAGACAACUGGCCACAGGGGGCAGCAGGAGGCAAAAGCUUUCCCUAAAAAUAAUUCUAAUGCGCCCCCUGGAACAAUACGGGUCACAGAAUCCUAGGAAGACGAGGACCCACGGCCCCUGCCCGCAGACUGUGUCCCAGAGAGAGAAGCCAUGAGCCCACAGCUGGUCAGGAGAGUGAGGCAGAACUCGAAUUCAAAGACCCUAGCUCUCCCCUGUCCCUCUGCAUGCUAUGGCUCCAGCCUUGAGUUGGGUUUGAGUCCAUAACCUCCCGUCCCAUCUUUUGAGAGCGUGGGCCGUGGGGUCCCCAGGGUGGCUCACGGAGCUCCUGCUCUCAUGGAGGGGUCAGGUCUGACAGCCCCACACAGGAGUCUAGGGGAGGACAAUCCCAAUAGAGUGGGCUGCCCUACAGUCCCUAAGAGCUGGAGGAAUCAAAGCAGGAGAAAGUACUGGGUGUUGGGAGAAUGGGUUUACGCUGAGGCUGGGUGGGAUGUCAGCGCCAGUGGAUCAGGAGGAACCGGGGUCCCCAUGAGAAACAGCCUGAUGGGGCCAGGAGAUGAGGGCUGGAGGCGGUGGGAGAUGGAGCUGGACCGGGAGGGUGGCUCAGACCGCAGGUGUCCCCAGAGCAGGCAGAGGACUCAGGCCCCGGAAGCCAGCCUGGAGUUUGAGCUAGAAGAAGGAAUUGGGGCACAGGUGGGACUGGGCCUUGCAGGGAUUCUCUGGGACUGGCUGGGGGAUGAGAGGUGGGCAAGAUGAGAGGCUGCAGUAACCCCAGGCCAGGGAACUCCCCAGAAGCUGGUGGCAUCCCUCACCUGCAGAAGGGUCCUGGCAACAUUGAUGGAAUUGGAUCAAAUGCUUAAGGGCAAGUGUGUCCUCGGCUCUGCAUCAGGCGGGGGUCACAGGUCAGAAGAGGGGCUGUCUGGUGGGGGGUACUGGGAACUUCAGGGACAGGCAAAACAGGAAAGAAUCCAGAUGGCCCUUAUAAGAUACCCCACCAGCAAGCACAUGACAGAGGUGAGGAGAAGGCAGCCAGCCCACCCACCCCUGCUCAUCUCAUGGACUCCCAGCCCCACCCCUGCCUCGCCCUCUCUCGGGAGGGCCUCCCCUCACUUGCGUGUGGUCUGAAGCUGCCGUGUCCCCCUCUAAUCCUCAGUUUCCCUUUCUGUCCCAGCAGGGCAGGACCAGAUGUUCUCUGAGGGCCAUUCCAUGUGACAGACUCAGGACCUCCACUGGACCCAGGCAGCUUGGGUCUGGGGUUGUGAACACUGAGGUUGGAACUCUCCAAAUGGUCCAGGAGAAAUCAGCACUUCAGGGCGACAGAGCCUUGGGACGUGUGGGGUCUCUCAGGUACCUGACUGCCUUCUUCACCCUCAUGUCCUUGGGGUCUGAGCAGAUGGACUUGCCGUGGACAGUUACAAACCUACAGAAAGGGAGAGAGCCAUCAGGGGUGUCAGGGCAGGAGGGCCUUCCAGAGCCCUGGACCAGCCUCCGCCUGCACUGACCAGGACUCUGGGGCCCUUGAGGGGGGGCAGGAACUUGCCUGAAGUCACAAGGGCAUCAGCAGGCUGCCCUCAGUGGUUAUUGACCCUCCCGAGGUCCCUGGCAGCCCUGGCCUCAAGGGAGCCAGGGCUGCAGGACCUUCUGCCCCCACCUCAGACAGCCCAUGCCCACCCAGAGCCUGGGAACUAGGGGUGCACGGGAGGGGCCUGGCGCUCGAGUUCUCCCCGGGUGGGCUCAGGCCCAGGCCAGGGGAAGUGACCGCAUCAGCCCCUGAUUCCCCAUGUGACAUGGGGCUGCCCCAUCUCUCUCAGGGCUUCAGUUUUCCUAUAGAUCAAUGCAGACGUUGACCCUCAGGGCCUGGGGCCUUUCUGGCCUCACAGUGUGGGUGCAGGAGCUGCCCUGAGGAGCAGUGCCAGGACGCGAAGGGGACGAUGGUCUUCUCCCAGCUCAGCUCCCAGGGGCAGGCAGCGGGGUGGAGGGCAGGCUUACACGAUGGCUUCCUUGGGACACUCCGCUGAGGUCCUGUGCCAGGUCGCCAGCUUCCUGAAAGGAAUGGCCCCUCUGAAGUACUCCAGGCAGCACUCCCGGCCCACGUUGGUGGCUCGAGCUGCGAAGGAAGAAUGCAGGAGCAGGUGCCUCUGAGCGUCUACGUGGGAGUCCUGGGGAGCUGGGGCAGUCUGGGACUGUCAGGCAACUGUCUGUGGGAGCUGACCGGACCAGCGUUUUACAGCAGUGAGAGCAUCAUGCCGCCCAGCUGGGAAGGUUGCCCCGCCGAGAAGGUGGCCUCCAAGACUGCACCUGUCUUGCCACGCAGGACACGAACCAGCUUUGUUUCCAGAGUAGCAAUCUUAUUUCAGCCUUCUUUUCCCAACUGAAUAUAAAAAUCUCUUUCCACAUGCUCUGGGAACCAGUUCUCCUGCUAUUAGGUGGAUUCCCUCAUUAUAUAUAAGACCCACUAAUAAAACAGAUGCUAACAAAUGCUUCUGAGAUUUGUUCAUUUUCCAAUGUCAAAACACAAACAGCCACCAGUCUCACAACCAAAGGCAAGCACUUUGUCCCUCCCAAGCCAGUGUCCAAGCACUGGGGUACCAUUCUCAUCGUCCUCCUCUUCCUCCUCCUGAGUGUUUUCCUUUUUAACACCUCCCUCAAAAAUCCUAUGCUGCAUUCUCUCACAUCUUGCAGGAACAAGGGGGGGGUGAAUAAUAAA